rnacentral:rRNA from 1 species
AGAGUUUGAUCCUGGCUCAGAAUCAACGCUGGCGGCGUGCCUAACACAUGCAAGUCGAACGAGAAAGUGGUAGCAAUACCAUGAGUACAGUGGCGCACGGGUGAGUAACACGUGACUAACCUACCCUGGAGUGGGGGAUAACUGAGGGAAACCUUAGCUAAUACCGCAUAAUACCUACGGGUCAAAGGAGCAAUUCGCUUCAGGAGGGGGUCGCGGCCGAUUAGUUAGUUGGCGGGGUAAUGGCCCACCAAGACAGUGAUCGGUAUCCGGCCUGAGAGGGCGCACGGACACACUGGAACUGAAACACGGUCCAGACUCCUACGGGAGGCAGCAGUGGGGAAUUUUGCGCAAUGGGGGAAACCCUGACGCAGCAACGCCGCGUGGAGGAUGAAGUCCUUCGGGACGUAAACUCCUUUCGAUCGGGACGAUAAUGACGGUACCGGAAGAAGAAGCCCCGGCUAACUUCGUGCCAGCAGCCGCGGUAAUACGAGGGGGGCGAGCGUUGUUCGGAAUUAUUGAGCGUAAAGGGUGCGUAGGCGGUUUGGUAAGUCUUAUGUGAAAUCUAUGGGCUCAACUCAUAGACUGCAUGAGAAACUGCCGGGCUUGAGUAUGGGAGAGGUGAGUGGAAUUCCUGGUGUAGCGGUGAAAUGCGUAGAUAUCAGGAGGAACACCUGUGGCGAAAGCGGCUCACUGGACCAUAACUGACGCUGAUGCACGAAAGCUAGGGGAGCAAACAGGAUUAGAUACCCUAGUAGUCC